UUUUCUGAAGUACGGAACAUCACCGCGCUGUCUGGUGGUUCAGGAGGCGUCUUCGCGUUUGAGCAGGGGGAGAAUCCGAGUUAUGAGAACGAAGCGAAGCGACAUUGUGUCCUUUGUGUAUUUCAUGCACACAACUUUGGAGGUGUAGAGAACUUCCUCCCUGGUUUCCACGAGGUGUUACCAUCGUGUCCAGGCCCUUUGGAUGCUCCUAACUCGUCUCACCUGUGAAGUUUAGCGAUUGCCUGUUCAUGCUGACAACUGACAUCCGGAACCUGAUCGUUCACAACUGGCGAAGCCAUGACGACUCUCUUUUUUUCGUGUUAUACGUCAUUGGUCUCGUGUAUGUCACCGGCGAUGCGUCCGACCAGCUUCCAGGUGACGCUUGACGUCUGGGCGCCCAAGCUGUGCACGGCCGACGUCGUGGACGUGCUCGCGAGCUUCACAACGCCGGCAUCUGUCAACGUUGCGACGCGAAGAUGGCAUCCCCUGACGACAUCCGCCGAACUGCAAGCCGAAGCUUCCACAAGAACACAGGUCCAAGGAGGCCCAGCCUUUCCACCAGUCGAGCUCAAUCACGCCUCCUUCAAGCAACACAACAAGGGGUGAUGCCAACACGUUCGUGGCUUCAGUGUUCCACCAGUCACCUCAUCUAGGCGCUGGUCGUGGACCACUUCCCGAGCCCCACGAAGCAGCCGUGCCCACCGAGGCCCAGAUCCGCGCCGAAGGCUACAGCCGAGGUCCCAUACCAAUUCAUCACGGCCGAGGAGCGCCGGGAAAUCUGUGGACAGCGCUCAGGGAGGAGACAAAAGACACUCACACGUAGUGACACAAUCCUGAUUUUAAAGAAACAAAUAAAAAGAAAACACCCACACAAAUUGUACUGGUAUAGAGGGUCCUUCAAUCACUGUGAUUUCAUUUAACAGUACAAAUAAAGAGAAACACAGAGUGAAA